rnacentral:lncRNA from 1 species
GCCCACAACAAUAGUGAUGCCCAUGGGAUUAAAAAUCCCUAUGCGUCCAUCGCAUUUUUGUCUCUGCAUGCUUCCACGCAUCUGCCAAUCGAUGCAGAUAAACCUUUCAUGCAACAGUCCAUAACUUCCGUAUUAGAAGCUGAUCCGUUGUAGUUGAAAGUUGAAUUUUUCUGUAGUUGAUUAAACUUUCAAUCCUACCCUCAUUUUGAUCAUCACUACAAGUUCAUUAAG